UGCUCGUGGUCGUUUGGACCUUCUCAGGCAAGUCCUCAAUGGUCGCUCCUGCUCUUGUGUCACCUGUGAUGGCCCCUUUCCUAUAUUAGUGGCUAUCUCGUGGUCAUGCAUAUGAAGAAUAACAGAUGCUGCCAAAGCAUACGCGAGCUGAGUGACCCCCUCAUGAUGCUCUGAAUCAAAAAAGCCAGAUAAUGGAGUAGUGUCCACCUGCUUAAGGAAAGAUGGCAUCGAUGAUGAUGGAUGAUCCCGACUAUGUGUAUCAUGCUGCAUCUCAGAAAUAUAUGAGGAGCCCAACUACCACGUCUCUGAAAAAUAUGGUGAUGCCAUCGGAAUAUAUGAUGAUGCUGUAGGUGAUCUAGUAUGAUAAACGGAGAUGUAGUCAACUUACCCAAUAUCCUGAUAUAUAUGUCUGAUAGUAUCAUUUAAUCGGCCCAAUAUAAUCAAUCGCUUUGAUUCAUCAUUAGCACCAAUGGUAUGUUGUAUAAAAAUUACUAUCUCAUCCAAACGCUCCAUCUACAUAAAUCAUACAAUAUAGUUAACGAUUAGAAAUAAAAUGAAAACUUAAUAAAUUGAAAUUCAAUAUGACAUUGACAUAAGGCAUAAUUUUCAUUGUCUUACCAAAAUACACACAGUAAAACUCUCACCCUCAUAUCAUGUAACUGUAUACCAAGGCUGCCCAAUGAUUCAUACUAUAAUGUUAAGAAAUCAAGCUAUGUAGUCCUCGAUAUAUGGAUGGCCUCCCAAUAUGUGAUCAUCAUGAACUAUGUGAUCUUACCAUGCAUUCCAAAUAGUGAUAUACUUUGCAUACUUGAUACGUCAGUCAAUAUGAGCUCUCUCUCGU
rnacentral:lncRNA from 1 species